CCUACAUGUCUCUGUUUCUUCAUCUGUAAACUAGGUAUAGGGGAUCAAGAGUACAUUCAUCUUGAUGAGCACUGAGUCAUGUGUAGAAUUGUGGAAUCAUUAUAUUGUACACCUGAAACUAAUAUAACACUGUAUGUUAACUAUACUGGAAUUAAAA